UCCCUGAUGGUUCAGUGGCUAAGACUCCACACUCCCGGUGUAGGUGUCCUGGGUUCGAUACCUGGUCAGGGAA
rnacentral:tRNA from 1 species